rnacentral:rRNA from 1 species
GACGAACGCUGGCGGCGUGCUUAACACAUGCAAGUCGAACGGAAAGGCCCGGCAUUUGUGGUUCGCUCGAUUGGCGAGCGGGUGAGUAACACGUGCGUAUCCUGCCCUUGUCUGCGGGAGAUCUACACGAAACUGGGGAUAUUAUAGGAUAGGAGCUCCUGCUCCGUAUGGGGCGUUGGAGAGUUUCGGCGGUGGUGGCUGGACUCGUGGCUUAUCAGCUUGCUUGUGGGGUAGUCGCUUUCCAAGGGUACGAGGGGUAGCCGGCCUGAGAGGCUGACCGGCGACAAUGGGACUGCGGUACGGCCCAGAAGGCUACGUGGGGCAGCAGUGGGGAAUAUUGCACAGCAAGCGGAGGCCUGAUGAAGGAGCGCCGCGUGCGGGAUGCCGGCCUUCGAGUUGUAAACCGCUUUUGCCUGUGACGAAGAGUGAGUGACGGUAAUGGGUAAAGAAGCACCGGCUAACUACGUG